rnacentral:rRNA from 1 species
UACGUAGGAUGCAAGCGUUAAUCGGAAUUACUGGGCGUAAAGCGUGCGCAGGCGGUUCGGAAAGAGAGGUGUGAAAUCCCAGGGCUUAACCUUGGAACUGCACUUCUAACUACCGGGCUAGAGUACGUCAGAGGGGGGUAGAAUUCCACGUGUAGCAGUGAAAUGCGUAGAGAUGUGGAGGAAUACCGAUGGCGAAGGCAGCCCCCUGGGAUGAUACUGACGCUCAUGCACGAAAGCGUGGGGAGCAAACAGG